CCGCAGCUGUUGCUUGAGGACCUAAUCCCAACAUUCCUCCAGGGGCGGCACAGCCCACUGCCGGCUGGAAGGGCGCUGGGGCCACCCAUUCACACCUUCCACGGAGGGUCAGGGUUCCCGCCAGCCUGGUGCCCCAGAAGAGGACCUGGCAAGUGUGGAAUCCACAAGCACCGCCCUGAGCGUGUCCUCGGGCAGCAGCCCUGGCUGAGAAUCCUCCUUCCUCCACGCGCCCCGUGUGUCACAUGCCGAAUCCGCCGCCUUGUCGCCCUUCCCCUCCUCCCCCUGGAACACGCCAGUCACCUCCGCCCCAGCCAGGAUUCUAAUCUUCUGCAGCGACAGAGCUCCAGGCCUGGGGGUGCUACCCCCACGUCCCUGGAGGACGUUUUGCCUUCCUGACGACUCGGAUGCUCCUGACGCCGGGUGUGUGGACGUCGAGGAGUGCCUGCCUGAGGGAGCCGCCCCACGUAACAAAUGGCACUCCCUACGGUGCUGAUGGAUGUCUUCGCCUGAUCGUAAAACUCCAGAGGAAGUCAAAUUCGGGUUCUCAAAACCUUGGAGAUAUUCCUUGAAUUUAUUAUGUGACCUGAUAAAUUAUUGAAUCCGAGUCCUCCUGUACCUUUCACAGGUGGGCCUGCAACGCAGCCUGUCCCGUGGAUCCAGGGGCCUUGCCUGCUGUGGGUCAAGGUUCCCACUAGAAAUGCGCUUCUGAGAACUCAGGCUGGGAGUCCAGAAUCCCAGCCCAGCGGGACCCUGAGCAGAGGAACCAGCGUGCCAUGCAGGACUUCCGAGCCACAGAACCGUGAGAUAAUAAAACCCCAUGGUGGAAGCGUGGGACCCACUGAGGAACACCACCCGUGGACUGCCCCCCGGCAGAACCCCCACCCAAAGACGCCCCAGGAACAUCUCCAGGGGAACCCCACCCACAGAAGCCCACUGAGAACAGGCUGCAGAGUCUCGCCGAGGCGCUCGUGGCCCCCGCCAGGACCCCACUGGCUGCGGAUGCAAGGCCGGGAUGACUGGUGAUCUAGCAGGUGGUUUGGUGGCUGCGUGGAGGGGCAGAGGGGUCAGAGCGGGACAGGGAGGCCCCGCUGGGUGGGAACAAGGCAGCUUGGCAGGGGCUGAGGGUGGAGGGCCAUGGCCACCCACAUCCACAUCCGGGUGCUGUGCGAGGUGAGGCAGCACAGGGCAGUGCACCCCGAGCCUUCCAGCUGGAGCAGACGUGAGACAGGCUCUCGGUGGGUGUGGAGCGGGUGGACAGCAAGAGAAGGAAUGGAUGCAGCGACGGAGGAGCCUGGCGGCUCGGGUCCCUCCCAGCAGCAGGCGGUGCUCAGAUGCCCCGUCCUUGUCUUUCUGCAGCGCCCCCACCACUCUCUCCCCGGUGGCCUCAGGCACCUUCCCCGAGCAGCUGCCCGAAGCCCAGGUCCCCUGCAUGUGGGUCACCUCAGCCCCAGCCAUGAGCGGGGUCCUAGGCAUGCUCAGCUCCUUGGAGAGGACGUCUCACUCGCCCUGGGGGCGGGGCAUCCCCCACCUGCCCUCAGCCCCCUCCCUGCCUGGUCCCUCGCCUGAGGGGAGAGGCUCCAGUGUCAGCGAAGCCCCCUCCCUGCCCCCAGCACGGCCCUGGGGAGGGCCUGGGCCCAGAGCCACUCAGGCGCCCAG
rnacentral:lncRNA from 1 species